rnacentral:rRNA from 1 species
UGGGGAGUAUUGCACAAUGGGGGAAACCCGUAGCAUGCAGCGACGCCGCGUGUGGGAAGACGGUCCUCUGGAUUGUAAACCACUGUCCCCAGGGACGAAGAUGACGGUACCUGGGAGGGAAGCUCCGGCUAACUACGUGCCAGCAGCCGCGGUAAUACGUAGGGAGCGAGCGUUGUCCGGAAUUACUGGGUGUAAAGGGAGCGUAGGCGGGAUGGCAAGUUGGGUGUUAAAUCUACCGGCUCAACUGGUAGUCGCACUCAAAACUGCCGUUCUUGAGUGAAGUAGAGGCAGGCGGAAUUCCUAGUGUAGCGGUGAAAUGCGUAGAUAUUAGGAGGAACACCAGUGGCGAAGGCGGCCUGCUGGGCUUUUACUGACGCUGAGGCUCGAAAGUGUGGGAGCAAACAGGAUUAGAUACC